rnacentral:lncRNA from 1 species
GUGUUGUGAACUUGAUGCUUUUCUUUUCAAAUGUUAACCAUGUCUGAAUCUGUAAAAGAGGACAAAGAAUGUUCUUGUUGUAAUGAGACUAACUAGCAGGAGAAUUGCUCUCAUGACUAAAGUUCCAUGGGUCACAGGCCAUGAGAAGUGACUAAAGUUCCAUGGGUCACAGGCCAUGAGAAGAACACAGGUUAAUCCACCAGCCAAAAGCCACAUGCUUUUACUUAAAAAGUUCCCAACAAGAGAGUUUCAGUCUCCUACUCCUAGUCUGAGAAUCAGCAUCUAGGUCACAAUUUCGUAGUUUGGGAAACAGAACGGCAAAUAUCAUCCACAAUCGACUCUAUAUUAACAUACAAACCACUUGGAUGGAACUUUACUUAUCCUCUGAUCUGAACA